rnacentral:rRNA from 1 species
GAGCCAAGCUUGCUUGGUGGAUCAGUGGCGAACGGGUGAKUAACACGUGAGCAACCUGCCCUGGACUCUGGGAUAAGCGCUGGAAACGGCGUCUAAUACUGGAUAUGAGACGUGAUCGCAUGGUCGUGUUUGGAAAGAUUUUUCGGUCUGGGAUGGGCUCGCGGCCUAUCAGCUUGUUGGUGAGGUAAUGGCUCACCAAGGCGUCGACGGGUAGCCGGCCUGAGAGGGUGACCGGCCACACUGGGACUGAGACACGGCCCAGACUCCUACGGGAGGCAGCAGUGGGGAAUAUUGCACAAUGGGCGGAAGCCUGAUGCAGCAACGCCGCGUGAGGGAUGACGGCCUUCGGGUUGUAAACCUCUUUUAGCAGGGAAGAAGCGAAAGUGACGGUACCUGCAGAAAAAGCGCCGGCUAACUACGUGCCAGCAGCCGCGGUAAUACGUAGGGCGCAAGCGUUAUCCGGAAUUAUUGGGCGUAAAGAGCUCGUAGGCGGUUUGUCGCGUCUGCUGUGAAAUCCCGAGGCUCAACCUCGGGCCUGCAGUGGGUACGGGCAGACUAGAGUGCGGUAGGGGAGAUUGGAAUUCCUGGUGUAGCGGUGGAAUGCGCAGAUAUCAGGAGGAACACCGAUGGCGAAGGCAGAUCUCUGGGCCGUAACUGACGCUGAGGAGCGAAAGGGUGGGGAGCAAACAGGCUUAGAUACCCUGGUAGUCCACCCCGUAAACGUUGGGAACUAGUUGUGGGGACCAUUCCACGGUUUCCGUGACGCAGCUAACGCAUUAAGUUCCCCGCCUGGGGAGUACGGCCGCAAGGCUAAAACUCAAAGGAAUUGACGGGGACCCGCACAAGCGGCGGAGCAUGCGGAUUAAUUCGAUGCAACGCGAAGAAACCUUACCAAGGGCUUGACAUAUACGAGAACGGGCCCAG